GGGGAGUUGUAGAACACACUAUACGGAGUUACAAAAGAACAUGUUAGACGAAUCAUCUGGAAAGAUGAAUCAAAGAAGGUAAUAA
rnacentral:rRNA from 1 species